rnacentral:ncRNA from 1 species
CCUUCAGGGCAGGGUGCAAUUCCCGACCGGCGGUGAGAGCCCGCGACCCCUUCGGGGUGGACCCGGUGGAACUCCGGAGCCGACGGUGGGAGUCCGGAUGAGAGAAGGA